AGGGAUCAUUACUGAGUUACCGCUCUAUAACCCUUUGUGAACAUACCUACAACUGUUGCUUCGGCGGGUAGGCCGUCCCCUGAAAAGGACGCCUCCCGGCCCGGACCGGACCCCCCGCGGGACCGGACCCGGCGCCCGCCGGAGGAUAACCAAACUCUAUUGUAACGACGUUUCUUCUGAGUGGCAUAAGCAAAAUAAUCAAAACUUUUAACAACGGAUCUCUUGGUUCUGGCAUCGAUGAAGAACGCAGCGAAAUGCGAUAAGUAAUGUGAAUUGCAGAAUUCAGUGAAUCAUCGAAUCUUUGAACGCACAUUGCGCCCGCCAGCAUUCUGGCGGGCAUGCCUGUCCGAGCGUCAUUUCAACCCUCAAGCUCUGCUUGGUGUUGGGGCUCUACGGUCGACGUAGGCCCUCAAAGGUAGUGGCGGACCCUCCCGGAGCCUCCUUUGCGUAGUAACAUUUCGUCUCGCACUGGGAUCCGGAGGGACUCUUGCCGUAAAACCCCCCAAUUUUCCAAAGGUUGACCUCGGAUCAGGUAGGAAUACCCGCUGAACUUAA
rnacentral:rRNA from 1 species